GAAUGUCCAACAUCCAUCUCGAUGUUAGUACGAUCCCUGGCCAACUUAGUAGCAUUUUGGUGAGUCUUCAUUUUUCGAGGACAACCUCUAUGUUUUGAUUUCAGUUGUUUAUGUCUUUAGUUUUCAGAGAUCUAGAGUUAGCUGAGGGCUUGUCCCAGCAACUCAUCUUAAUAAAGGUUUUCAGACAUCUAGAGUUAGCUGAGGGCUUGUCCCAGCAACUCAUCUUAAUAAAGGUUUUCAGACAUCUAGAGUUAGCUGAGGGCUUGUCCCAGCAACUCAUCUUAAUAAAGGUUUUCAUACAUCUAGAGUUAGCUGAGGGAUUGUCCCAGCAACUCAUUUGAAUAAAGGCUUUCAGACA